UUGAUAAUAAUAAUUGAAUUUCGUCAGGCAGUUUACAAGCAGAACCAACAAAAACACAUUAAAAAUUACAAUUUGAAUUGUGAAAUUGAUGCGAAUUGAUUGCAACCGAAAAUAGUGAUAACUAUCCCAUAAUAUUUGGAAAAGCACCAGAAAUUGUGAUUGAUUGAUUAAACCAUGAGUAGAACAAGAUCAAGAGAGGAUCAAUUUAAUAUUCCACCCGAAAGGAAAGACGACAUUAAGAACCUUGUAGUCAUAAAACAAGGCGUCAAGUCAAGCAUACGGGAAGAAUAUCGCGACAGAGUGAUUCAGUUUUUGGAUCAUCGAAGCUACAAAAUGACACUGAUUUCGUCACUGGCAUCAUUGUUGGCGUUGUACAAAAUUCAAGAAGCCAUCGAUGAUGGGAACCAACAAUUUUUUGUACAAAACGGUAAAACAUUUUUCAUCGAGUGCUUUAACGGUGUUUUAGCCGAUAAAGUCGACAGAGAGGAACUAAUGCCGCCAGCUUUUCGUAACAUUGUCGAGGCACACUUCGGUGUAGAGAAUUUUGAAUGGCCCGAUAAAGAAUGCCUGGGAAAUGGUUUUAAUUAUUUCUACCAAGAUCACAUUCGAAAUAAUCAGACCAAUCUCAACACUCAUUGUUCAGAACAUGUUGAAUCGUUUUUUCAAAUGAAACGCUGGUAUUAUAACAUGAAUAUCAAUGGCCAUCAAUACUAUGGAUCAAAAUUUGACGGCAUCGAUAUACGAAACGCAAAAGUUUACGCCACUAGUAACAAAGAUCUGACACAUGGUGAUGUAGAGAGAACAAAUAAGAUGAACAUUUUAUUGUAUGAACUGGAAAGAAUCGGUUGAUAACGAACAAUCGACCGCCAAAAGUGAACAAUUUCGCACUUGUCCCGUUAUGCCGAUUCCAACUGAAAAACGUUCGAUUGGAUAUGACAGAUAUGUAUUAUUUGGCGAACACUGUACUAGGAGUGGUGCCAAGUUCUCGCAAUCCGCUGACCAAUCGAAUGAACAAAUACACACUGGACUAUUACUUGUACGGCCAUCGAGAUGAAUUGUGGAAUUUGGUUUUCGACAUGGAUAAAAUCAAACAAAUCGGCAAGCAGAAGCGGUUUCACUCGCAAAUCAUCACCAAUAGUGUUUGCGUAUCAAUAUUGUACGAGAAGCCAGCGAAGGCUUGGGUGGAAAAUUCGGAGCAGGCCACAUUUAACAACAUGACAUAUGCUAGUGCCAUCGAUCCGAACGAGAAAACGUGGGUGGCCGUUGUGCGCCGCCAUAUCAAGUCAAACAUUGAGGAAAACAUUAAAAUAUCCAAUCCACGAUUUCAUUGGCAAACCGAGCAGAAGAAGAGAGAUCGGAAGGCUGAUCGGUUGACCUGGUGGUUUGUUGAAGAAGAACAAAUGGAUUUCAAGUCGUACCCAGUGAUACCAUCGCCGCGUGGAUCCACAUGGAAAGCGUACAUUCUGCAUCGCAUCAAAAUGCAACGAAUGGGAAUGCAAGCAUAUGCGACUCGAAAAUAUGCACGAUUGGAUCUCGAUCACCACAUCAAGGCUACCAAAACAAGUGAUAAAGUUGCCAUGCGGGUAACGAACAACAAACCGUCUUGGAUUUGGAUUGGUGCUGGAGAAAUGGCACCAAAUCGGCCAUGGGGCAUAAAGAAGCGGAAAAGAUGCCCAGGAACGCGUAAAUUGGCGACCAGCUUCAAGAAACAAGAGCACACAAAGGUCAGUUUUCAAGAUGAAUGGGGUACAUCAAUAACGUGUGCCAAUUGUCACGAGCGAUUUCCAAGAGAAACCAAAAAUCAUCGAUUCAAAAUUUGUCGAAAUUGCAUACCAAAAUCGAUUGUUGGACUACCACCAAUAAUUGUGACGAAUUUGAGCAGACAAGAGCUUAAGAAAGAGCGAAUUGUAGAGAGAGCAAUCAAUCCAGAUCGUGAGAACAUCGAGCGUUUAGUGCCAAAGAUAAAAGUUAUCUUCAAAACUUGGUCAUUAACUCGAGAAUACCAUGAAUUGGAUGAUGCUGCACCAGAAGACAUGAUUGAGCACGUAGUCAUUUGGCACCGUGACAUUGUUGCCGCAAAGAAUAUUUUAUUCAAAGGAAUGUGUCGUCUUUUUGGCAUACCAUUGCCCGAUUCGUUGAAGAGACCUGACAAUCCACACCAUGCGAACAAUGUCAACUGAUAGCAGCAUAAAAUCAACAAUAAUCAUAAGAAGAAUAUUUUAACAAUUUUGUUAGUUACUAGGCGUGAAUAGUUUAAAUCCAAGGAUUUCUAUUGUACCCUUGACCGCAGUACGGGUCCCUAUUUAGGGCUGUGCGGAAUAUAAAAGAACCCGUAGUCUUGGGAAGUUGCAAAAAUGGUUAUUAUUAGAUAGUUUAGAAAAAUGUUGAUAAACCAACUUUUUCAAAAAUUGAGAAAUGGCCCAAUGAAACCAAUAGGAAUAAAUUUAGUUGUUGAAUCAAUUAACAAAAAAAGAAGAAGAAAAAUG